rnacentral:rRNA from 1 species
AUUGAACGCUGGCGGAAUGCUUUACACAUGCAAGUCGAACGGCAGCACGGACUUCGGUCUGGUGGCGAGUGGCGAACGGGUGAGUAAUGUAUCGGAACGUGCCCAGUCGUGGGGGAUAACGUAGUGAAAAUUACGCUAAUACCACAUACGAUCUAUGGAUGAAAGCGGGGGAUCGCAAGACCUCGCGCGAUUGGAGCGGCCGAUAUCAGAUUAGGUAGUUGGUGGGGCAAAGGCCCACCAAGCCAACGAUCUGUAGCUGGUCUGAGAGGACGACCAGACACACUGGAACUGAGACACGGUCCAGACUCCUACGGGAGGCAGCAGUGGGGAAUUUUGGACAAUGGGCGAAAGCCUGAUCCAGCCAUUCCGCGUGCAGGAUGAAGGCCCUCGGGUUGUAAACUGCUUUUGUACAGAACGAAAAGGUUUCUACUAAUACUAGGAGCUCAUGACGGUACUGUAAGAAUAAGCACCGGCUAACUACGUGCCAGCCGCCGCAGUAA